GAUCCUGGCUCAGAAUCAACGCUGGCGGCGUGCCUCAGACAUGCAAGUCGAACGAUUAAACUUUCCUUCGGGAAAGAUAUAAAGUGGCGCACGGGUGAGUAACACGUAGGUAAUGUACCUUUGGGUGGGGAAUAACUUAGGGAAACUUAAGCUAAUACCGCAUAAUGCAGCGGCUCCUUCGGGAGGCAGUUGUUAAAGAUUUAUCGCCUAAAGAGCAGCCUGCGGCAGAUUAGCUAGUUGGUAAGGUAACGGCUUACCAAGGCUACGAUCUGUAUCCGACCUGAGAGGGUGGUCGGACACACUGACACUGAAUAACGGGUCAGACUCCUACGGGAGGCAGCAGUCGGGAAUUUUGGGCAAUGGGCGAAAGCCUGACCCAGCAACGCCGCGUGAAGGAUGAAGUCUUUCGGGAUGUAAACUUCGUAAGAAUAGGAAGAAUAAAUGACGGUACUAUUUGUAAGGUCCGGCUAACUACGUGCCAGCAGCCGCGGUAAUACGUAGGGACCAAGCGUUGUUCGGAUUUACUGGGCGUAAAGGGCGCGUAGGCGGCGUGACAAGUCAAUUGUGAAAUCUCCGGGCUUAACUCGGAACGGUCAAUUGAUACUGUUGUGCUAGAGUACAGAAGGGGCAAUCGGAAUUCUUGGUGUAGCGGUGAAAUGCGUAGAUAUCAAGAGGAACACCUGAGGUGAA
rnacentral:rRNA from 1 species